GAAACGUUCUACUGCAAGCCGAGCGUGGGGACCGAGGGUCGGCGUCACAGUGAGAGAGCCAUGAUGGAGGACGGGGUCACCCUGCUUGCCCAACGCGGGGAGCUCCGUCAUACAGAACCCCAGUGAGUUCUGGAGGUCACGCUCUGUUUCAUAAAUGAAAAGCUGGGGCAGGGGCCUUGCCACACGGACACUCCUCGGGCCUCACAAGCUCCUGUGGGUGACCAGGCUGCUCCCCACCGCCGGCGUGGGCUGUUGCUACCCUGCACAUCCCUCGGGUGGGCAGCGGUGCUUGAAACGCCAGCUCCCGCCCUUCCUGCCUAGUGGCUUGACGGCUUCAUUGUGCUAACCACCCAGGCAAGCUUGCGUGACUAACGGAGGAGCGUCUCCCCUUAGAUUCUUCCCGCCCGGAGCCGGGGACAGCAGAAAACCACCUGACCUCCAGAUUCUCUCUCGUCCAGUGGAGAUUCUCCUGCCCGAAGGCAGGCGCUCUCCAAGGUCCCUCUCCCCAGAAGAGCCACGAUCCCAGGAAGCCGGCUUGUGCAGAGGAAAGAACCGCACCUCGUUGUCAGAACAACCCCAGCUCUGCCACCUACACCUUGUGUGACCUUGGGCAAGUCAGAGAAACUUCUCAGAUGCACAAUCUCGUCACGCUCCUAGUUUCCAAGCCCACACACCUGAGGGUCAAUGUCCCUUAUUGCACCCCCACCCCAUACCGACUCCAUCAGCAAGUCCUGUUUGUUCUUGCCCCAAGUAUCUCUCCUGUCUGCCCAUUCCCUGCAUCUCCCCCGUCACCACCCCGGGCCAGUCCCCGUUACCCGCACCUGGAGGUCUGCACCAGCCCCACCUGCACUCCGGCGUCCACUCUCGCCCCCAUUGCUGUGAUCUCCACACAACCACGAGCGGCCUUGAGAGCGCAGCGAGGCCGUGAGGCUGCGCAGAGCCCCUCAGUCAGCAGGACCGCGCUCACGGUUCAGUGGGCCGUCUGCUAGAGGCUUUCCGCAGUUCAUUCCUUCUCCCCACACAACUCUGAAGGAUCAGCCCCAGCUCUGGGGCCCAGGACUGCUUGGCUCAUCGAAGAAUCCCGCCAUGCAGGUACGAUGAUGUACAAAAGAGGAAGCAAAGCACUGAACACAGAACCUGGCAAGCUGUAAUCAUCUGGCACAUCUGAACUGUCUGGGUGGUGUCUCCGCUGCUACCGCCUCAGUGCAGGUUUCCAUCAUCUGUUGCCUGUUGACCAUGAAACUCCCAACUCAAUCCUCUCACUCCAGCCUUCCUCAAACCCCAGUGUCUUCCACAUACUAGGACCAGAGUGAUCCUCUGAACAUAAAACUGAUUGAUAACAGAUCAUCCAAAUGGACUAAUAAUUGACCAAUUAAUAAUUGACAAUCAAAAAAUUCUCUCCUCAAAAAAAAAGGCAAGAAAACUGGCAAAAAAUGUCAAAAUCAACUUUUCUAGAACUCUGAAAGUUAACCACCAAAGGCUUGGAAUAAUCCGGGAAGCUUUUAUUUAAUUAAAAUGGCUGAGUCUUGGUAUGAACAGCAAACUUUGUGGUGUUUCAACUUGCCCUAUUCCUAUCUCCCUAUCUCCCACGUGGUGGUUCCCUAGAAAACUAACAAUCACAGUAAAAGACAGCAGCCUGGUAGCUAUCAGAGAGAGAGAAAUGGAGUCGGGGGUCCUUUAAAGCCUCAUUCCCAUGGAAUCGUCAUUAGUUAGCCUCUCUAGUAGUCCCCUGGAAGACUGCACUUAUAAGGUCAUCUUUAUUAGACCUGACUUAGAGCUCACCUAGUGCAAAAGGCUUUUCUCCAGGGGUGUUUGUAAAAAAAUAAAAAUAAAAAAAUUAGAGACUGUUGUUUAACUUUCUGGCUGGGUGCUUUGUGGCUGCCUAAGGCUGUGGAUCACAGUUGGGCAGACAAUAAGCUGAUCAAAAACCAUAAAAGUAAAAUCUGGGGAAUGAGCUCUCCAUGGGGUCUUAGACAAGCUUCACCCACUUUCUGGGCAUCUAGAAGGUCAUGGGCAUGUGUAGGACUCUGCAUGUGUCCAGGGCUGUGCACAUGCUCAGAAAAGACCUAAGAAGGCCCCAAGAGCUCACUUCUGGCUGAUCUUGGGGCUCUGUAAAACCAGAAAGUGAAAGCUAAGGCACAGUUUCAACUGCCUGGCUGAGUGUUGAAGGAGUGUCCAACGUGCACACACAGCAGCUUUCCAAGGACUGGGAGAUUUACUGGUCACUGGCGUUCAAGGAAACCUCUGUCCAUUCAUUAACUGACCACUGAGCUGAUUGAGCAGAGAGCUCAGUGGCUAAACAUGAUAAAGAAUAUAGACUUUACAGAAGAUAUUUAGAAAUAUCCCUGAGUAAAAUAAUAGCAACAAACAGCAACAACAACAGGCCCAGGGGAUGGAGCAGAAUCUGACUUCCAGAGAGCCUAUCAGGGAACUUCUGGGCCUCUAAAGUCGUGUGAGCCAAUUCCCAUAAUAAACUUAAAAAUGCUUUGAGAUGAAUGAAAAUGAAAACACAACAUAGCAACAAUGAAGGAUGCACUAAAGCAGUGCUUAUAGGGAAUUUCGUAGCUGUAAACAUGUAUUUUUAAGAAAAAAGGAAAAG
rnacentral:lncRNA from 1 species